rnacentral:rRNA from 1 species
AGUGAACGCUGGCGGCAGGCCUAACACAUGCAAGUCGAGCGGCAGCGGGUCCUUCGGGAUGCCGGCGCGCGGCGGAAGGGUGAGGAAUACAUCGGAAUCUGCUCUGUCGUGGGGGAUAACCACGGGAAACUUCUGCUACUACUGCAUACGACCUACGGGUGCAACCGGGGGAUGGCAAGACCUCGCGCGCCAGGAUGAGCCGAUGUCCGAUUAGCUAGUUGGCGGGGUAAAGGCCCACCAAGGCGACGAUCGGUAGCUGGUCUGAGAGGAUGAUCAGCCACACUGGGACGGAGACACGGCCCAGACUACUACGGGAGGCAGCAGUGGGGAAUAUUGGACAAUGGGCGCAAGCCUGAUCCAACCAGGCCGCGUGGGUGAAGAAGGCCUUCGGGUUGUAAAGCCCGUUUGUCCGGGAAGAAAUCGUCUGGGCUAAUACCCCGGGCGGAUGACGGUACCGGAAGAAGAAGCACCGGCUAACUUCGUG